rnacentral:rRNA from 1 species
GACGAACGCUGGCGGCGUGCUUAACACAUGCAAGUCGAACGGAAAGGCCCUGCUUGCAGGGUACUCGAGUGGCGAACGGGUGAGUAACACGUGGGUGAUCUGCCCUGCACUUCGGGAUAAGCCUGGGAAACUGGGUCUAAUACCGGAUAUGACCUUCCAUGUAGUGUGGGGGGUGGAAAGAUUUAUCGGUGUGGGAUGAGCCCGCGGCCUAUCAGCUUGUUGGUGGGGUAAUGGCCUACCAAGGCGUCGACGGGUAGCCGGCCCGAGAGGGUGGACGGCCACAUUGGGACUGAGAUACGGCCCAGACUCCUACGGGAGGCAGCAGUGGGGAAUAUUGCACAAUGGGCGGAAGCCUGAUGCAGCGACGCCGCGUGGGGGAUGACGGCCCUCGGGUUGUAAACCUCUUUCGACAGGGACGAAGCUUCGGUGACGGUACCUGUAUAAGAAGCACCGGCUAACUACGUG